GCUGGGUGAGGUGGUGCCCGCCUGUAAUCCCAGUGGCAUGGGAGGCUGAGAGAGGAGGAUUGCAAAGUCAAAGCCAGCCUUAGCAAAAGUGAGUCCCUGAGUAAUUCUGGGAGACCCUGGCUCUA
rnacentral:sRNA from 1 species